GCCAGCAACGGGGAGCCCGAUGAGGAUGCUUAUGAUAUGAGGAAGGCACUUUCCAAGCACACAAAGAAAUCCAUCAUACCAGGGCUGGGAUUGUGGCUCAGUGGUAGAGCACUUGCCUAGCACAGCACCACAUAAAAAAAAUAAAUAUGCAGAGCCAAACUUCAGUAAGGGGCACAUUUGGUGACUGCAGUGAACACAUGCCCUGCAUAGGUCGGAAAAAAAAACAUUAAUUAAAAAAAAAAGAAAGAAAUCCAUCAUACCAUCACCUCAUCCUGUGAGGCCUGAAGACAUUGAAUAACCAUAGGCAGUGGUUCCAAAUAGUUUAUGGACAAUAUUAUUUUCACUGGAUGAUCUUAGAGCACUAUUAGGAGAAAAGUAAUCAUUUAGUCUUAAAGACUAAGUCUUAAGACUUUCUUAGUCUUAAAGACUAAGAAAACACAGGAUAUAAACAUAUUUUCAAUCUGAUUUCCAUUUAGCAAUAUCACAUGUCUUAAAAGCUGUUUGCUCUAAUAAAAUUCAAUGAAGAAGGCAGCUAGGUCAGAAGGAAGCUUUCCACUAUCAUGAUUCAUAAUGUCUACUAUAUGCCGGGAAGAGACUUACUCCAGCCUCUUAAAUUCUGUGCCUGAGAACCACUGCUCUCUCUAUAUAUAUGGUAUUGAACUGUUAAUUAAAGCUUUAAAAGCAUAUAUGAAAUGUAUAAAUCUAAGAUGUAUAAUAAAAAUACAUUGCUGGGGCUGGGGCUCAAGCGGUAGCGCGCUCGCCUGGCAUGCACGUGGCCCGGGUUCAGUCCUCAGCACCACAUACAAACAUGUUGUGCCCGCCGAUAACUAAAAAAUUAAAAAAAUAUAUUAAAAUUCUCUCUCUACCUCUCUCUCUUUAAAAAAAAAAUACAUUGAUUCUAUGAAAAAAAUAAAAAUCUAACCAAACCAUAGCCUAAUCAUUGGUGGCCUAUCACUAGUAACCCUUCUUAAAAAAAAAAAAAAUCUCUGCUUCUAACAUUUCUGAUAGUCUAUGUAGUUUCUUUUGGGUAAUAACCUCAUUUGGGAAAUAAUUAUUUUCUCAAAUGGUUGUAGCACUAUACACAAGGGCCAUUCAUUAGCACUGGGCAUCCUGCUUGUUACUAGUGACCUCAUGUCCUCCUUUAUUAAAUUGACACGAUGUGGUCUAGGAUUAUUCAUUUUUAUAUGCCUGGCACUUUGAACAAUACUCAUGUUUAUAAAUCUGUUACUGGAGUGCCCUAGCACCUUGAAAAAUGAAUUUCCAGGGGCUGGAGUUCUAGCUCGAUGGCAGAGCACUUGCCUAGCAUGCGUGAGGCACUGGGUUCAAUCCCCAGCACCACAUAUAAAUAAAUGAAAUAAAGGUAUGCUCUCCACCUACAACUACAAAAAAAAAUUUUUUAAAUAAAUAAUUUUCUAGCUGAGCAUGGAAGUGUAUACCUGAAAUCCCAGCAGCUCGGGAGGCUGAGGCAGGAGGACUGCGAGUUAAGACAGCCUCAGCACUUAGCAAGAUCCUGUGUCUAAAUAAAUAAAA
rnacentral:lncRNA from 1 species